rnacentral:rRNA from 1 species
UACGAGGGGGGCAAGCGUUGUUCGGAAUUAUUGGGCGUAAAGGGUGCGUAGGCGGUUUGGUAAGUCUUGUGUGAAAUCUCUGGGCUCAACUCAGAGACUGCACGAGAAACUGCCGGGCUUGAGUGUGGGAGGGGUGAAUGGAAUUCCUGGUGUAGCGGUGAAAUGCGUAGAUAUCAGGAGGAACACCUGUGGCGAAAGCGGCUCACUGGACCACAACUGACGCUGAUGCACGAAAGCUAGGGGAGCAAACAGG